UACGACGGGCGCUAGCGUUGUUCGGAAUCACUGGGCGUAAAGCGCACGUAGGCGGAUGUGUCAGUCAGGGGUGAAAUCCCGGAGCUCAACUUCGGAACUGCCCUUGAUACAGCACGUCUUGAGUCCGGAAGAGGUGGGUGGAAUUCCUAGUGUAGAGGUGAAAUUCGUAGAUAUUAGGAAGAACACCGGUGGCGAAGGCGGCCCACUGGUCCGGUACUGACGCUGAGGUGCGAAAGCGUGGGGAGCAAACAGG
rnacentral:rRNA from 1 species